GACGAACGCUGGCGGCGUGCCUAAUACAUGCAAGUCGAACGAGUGGCGGACUGGUGAGUAACACGUGGGAACCUACCCAUCAGAGGGGGAUAACACUUGGAAACCGGUGCUAAUACCGCAUAUUGAUGGCUGGCCCCGCGGUUCAUGAGCAAGUUGGUGAGGGAACGGCUCACCUAGGCGACGAUCCCUAGCUGGUCGGAGAGGAUGACCAGCCACACUGGAACUGAGACACGGGCCAGACUCCUACGGGAGGCAGCAGUGGGGAAUAUUGCACAAUGGGCGCAAGCCUGAGGCAGCCAUGCCGCGUGUGUGAAGAAGGCCUUCGGGUUGUAAAGCACUUUCAGCGGGGAGGCGUUACCCGCAGAAGAAGCACCGGCUAACUCCGUGCCAGCAGCCGCGGUAAUUC
rnacentral:rRNA from 1 species